rnacentral:rRNA from 1 species
UACGAAGGAUCCAAGCGUUGUCCGGAUUUACUGGGUUUAAAGCGUGCGUAGGUGGUUUGUUAAGUCUGAUGUGAAAGCCCUGGGCUCAACCUGGGAAUUGCAUUGGAUACUGGCAGGCUAGAGUGCGGUAGAGGAGGGCGGAAUUCCCGGUGUAGCAGUGAAAUGCGCAGAUAUCGGGAGGAACACCAAUGGCGAAGGCAGCUCGCUGGGACGUUACUGACGCUGAGACGCGAAAGCGUGGGGAGCAAACAGG